rnacentral:rRNA from 1 species
AAAUUGAAGAGUUUGAUCAUGGCUCAGAUUGAACGCUGGCGGCAGGCCUAACACAUGCAAGUCGAACGGUAACAGGAAGAAGCUUGCUUCUUUGCUGACGAGUGGCGGACGGGUGAGUAAUGUCUGGGAAACUGCCUGAUGGAGGGGGAUAACUACUGGAAACGGUAGCUAAUACCGCAUAACGUCGCAAGACCAAAGAGGGGGACCUUCGGGCCUCUUGCCAUCGGAUGUGCCCAGAUGGGAUUAGCUAGUAGGUGGGGUAACGGCUCACCUAGGCGACGAUCCCUAGCUGGUCUGAGAGGAUGACCAGCCACACUGGAACUGAGACACGGUCCAGACUCCUACGGGAGGCAGCAGUGGGGAAUAUUGCACAAUGGGCGCAAGCCUGAUGCAGCCAUGCCGCGUGUAUGAAGAAGGCCUUCGGGUUGUAAAGUACUUUCAGCGGGGAGGAAGGGAGUAAAGUUAAUACCUUUGCUCAUUGACGUUACCCGCAGAAGAAGCACCGGCUAACUCCGUGCCAGCAGCCGCGGUAAUACGGAGGGUGCAAGCGUUAAUCGGAAUUACUGGGCGUAAAGCGCACGCAGGCGGUUUGUUAAGUCAGAUGUGAAAUCCCCGGGCUCAACCUGGGAACUGCAUCUGAUACUGGCAAGCUUGAGUCUCGUAGAGGGGGGUAGAAU